AUUGAACGCUGGCGGCAUGCCUUACACAUGCAAGUCGAACGGUAACAGGGAAAAGCUUGCUUUUCUGCUGACGAGUGGCGAACGGGUGAGUAAUACAUCGGAACGUGCCCUGUAGUGGGGGAUAACUACUCGAAAGAGUGGCUAAUACCGCAUACAACCUGAGGGUAAAAGUGGGGGGACCGCAAGGCCUCACGCUAUAGGAGCGGCCGAUGGAAGAUUAGGUAGUUGGUAGGGUAAAGGCCUACCAAGCCGACGAUCUUUAGCGGGUCUGAGAGGACGAUCCGCCACACUGGGACUGAGACACGGCCCAGACUCCUACGGGAGGCAGCAGUGGGGAAUUUUGGACAAUGGGGGCAACCCUGAUCCAGCAAUGCCGCGUGAGUGAAGAAGGCCUUCGGGUUGUAAAGCUCUUUUGUUUGGGAAGAAAUGCAUGGUGGCUAAUAUCCAUCAUGCUUGACGGUACCGCUAAAGGAAGCACCGGCUAACUCCGUG
rnacentral:rRNA from 1 species